rnacentral:rRNA from 1 species
UUNAACGGCCGCGGUAUUUUGACCGUGCUAAGGUAGCGUAAUCACUUGUCUUUUAAAUGAAGACCCGUAUGAAAGGCAUAACGAAGGCUUAACUGUCUCCUCUUUCCAGUCAAUGAAACUGAUCUCCCCGUGCAGAUGCGGGGAUAAUACCAUAAGACGAGAAGACCCUAUGGAGCUUUAGACAUAAAGUAGACCAUUUCAAACACCCCUAUACAAGGACUGAAUCUAGUGAGAAUCUACCCGCGUCUUAGGUUGGGGCGACCCUGGGGAAACACAAAACCCCCACGUGGAAAAGGAGAACCUAUACUACACCCUCCCAAAAACCCGAGAUACACCUCUAAUUAACAGAACUUCUGACCAAAAUUGAUCCGGUCAAGACCGAUUAACGGAACAAGUUACCCUAGGGAUAACAGCGCUAUCCCCUUUUAAAGUCCACAUAGACAAGGGGGUUUACGACCUCGAUGUUGGAUCAGGACAUCC